UACGUAGGGUGCGAGCGUUAAUCGGAAUUACUGGGCGUAAAGCGUGCGCAGGCGGUUUUGUAAGCCAGAUGUGAAAGCCCCGGGCUCAACCUGGGAAUGGCAUUUGGGACUGCAAGGCUUGAGUGCGGCAGAGGAGACUGGAAUUCCUGGUGUAGCAGUGAAAUGCGUAGAUAUCGGGAAGAACACCCGUGGCGAAGGCGGCUCUCUGGGACGGUACUGACGCUGAGACGCGAAAGCGUGGGGAGCGAACAGG
rnacentral:rRNA from 1 species